GCUUACGGCCAUACCAGCCCAAGAACGCCUGGUCUCGUCUGAUCUCAGGAAGCUAAGAAGGCUUGGGCCUGGUUAGUACUUGGAAUGGGAGACCUCCUGGGAAUACCAGGUUCUGUAAGCU
ensembl:rRNA 5S_rRNA 5S ribosomal RNA